rnacentral:rRNA from 1 species
UAGGGAAUCUUCGGCAAUGGGGGGAACCCUGACCGAGCAACGCCGCGUGAGUGAAGAAGGUUUUCGGAUCGUAAAGCUCUGUUGUUAGAGAAGAACAGCGCAUAGAGUAACUGUUAUGCGUGUGACGGUAUCUAACCAGAAAGCCACGGCUAACUACGUGCCAGCAGCCGCGGUAAUACGUAGGUGGCAAGCGUUAUCCGGAAUUAUUGGGCGUAAAGCGCGCGUAGGCGGUUUUUUAAGUCUGAUGUGAAAGCCCACGGCUCAACCGUGGAGGGUCAUUGGAAACUGGAAAACUUGAGUGCAGAAGGGGAAAGUGGAAUUCCAUGUGUAGCGGUGAAAUGCGCAGAGAUAUGGAGGAACACCAGUGGCGAAGGCGACUUUCUGGUCUGUAACUGACGCUGAUGUGCGAAAGCGUGGGAAUCAAACAGG